rnacentral:rRNA from 1 species
GACGAACGCUGACGGCGUGCUUAACACAUGCAAGUCGAAGGGAGUGGCGAACGGGUGAGUAACACGUGAGUAACCUGCCCUUUUCUUUGGGAUAAGCCUGGGAAACUGGGUCUCAUACUGGAUGGCUUGGGAGGGGCUCGCGCCUUAUCGGCUUGUUGGUGGGGUGAUGGCUUACCAAGGCUUGGACGGUUAGCCGGCCUGAGAGGGGGGUCGGUCAGCCUGGGACGGAGAUACUGCCCAUACUGCGCCGGGAGGCGGCAGGGGGGGAUAUUGCCCAAGGGACGAAAGUCGGAUGCAGCGACGUCGUGUGGGGGAUGAAGGCCUUCGGGUUGUAAACUCCUUUCGCCCGCGGAAUGGUAGUGGGCAAAGAAGCGCCGGCUAACUACGUGCCAGCAGCCGCGGUAAUAC